rnacentral:rRNA from 1 species
UACGUAGGCAGCAAGCGUUGUUCGGAGUUACUGGGCGUAAAGGGUGUGUAGGCGGUUGUUUAAGUUUUGGUGUGAAAUCUCCCGGCUCAAUUGGGAGGGUGCGCCGAAUACUGAAUGACUUGGAGUGCGGGAGAGGAGAGUGGAAUUCCCGGUGUAGCGGUGAAAUGCGCAGAUAUCGGGAAGAACACCCGUGGCUAAGGCGGCUCUCUAGUACGGUACUGACGCUGAGACGCGAAAGCGUGGGGAGCGAACAGG